rnacentral:rRNA from 1 species
UACGGAGGGAGCUAGCGUUGUUCGGAAUUACUGGGCGUAAAGCGCACGUAGGCGGCUCUGUAAGUUAGAGGUGAUAGCCUGGAGCUCAACUCCAGAAUUGCCUUUAAGACUGCAUCGCUUGAAUCCACGGAGAGGUGAGUGGAAUUCCGAGUGUAGAGGUGAAAUUCGUAGAUAUUCGGAAGAACACCAGUGGCGAAGGCGUUAUCAACUCGGACUGGUGGAAUUGACGCUGAGGUGCGAAAGCG